rnacentral:lncRNA from 12 species
GGCGCGGGGCGCACGCGGGAAGCGGGCCGGCGAGGGACUGACGUGGGGACCGGGAGCCCCGUGUUAUUUUCAGAGUCCAGGUGGAAUCUAACUGAAACAAUGCCAAGAGAAAAGGAGGGAAAACAAAAAACUAAAGGAACACCCCUGCCCAUCAUUCCAAUUCUUCAAAAGUUCCUGAAAGCAUAUGAGAAGCACUGUGCACAGACUCAGACCUCUGUCUGUGCAGCCAUCAAACAGGACUUGAAAACCAGCAUCAACAAUGAACGGAUUCUCAGGAAAUUUAUGCUCGUAAGACCUAGAGACUCCCCACCAAGCACCCUACCAAUUUCCUUGGAACCUUUGCUCAUCACAAUUCAAGAUGAGUGUUAUAUGCUGGGGAAAGAGAUUUGUAUCUGGAGCCUUCAACUGAGCAACCCAGAGAUUGCCAGACUGGCUUCGCUUCUGGAGUUGAAGGGCCGUGCCUGCCCAUUUACCAGCCUGGAGCUCAUUGAUUGCAGGAUGGAUCUGUGGUCUCUCCGGAGACUCGGGAGGGCUCUGCUAGGCAGCUGUCUGCAUUCUCUUGUCCUUGAUUACUGCAGGUUUGGAAACGAAGAAAUUGAGAGUAUUUUCUCAGGCCUGGAGCACAAUCAAAGGCUUCAAGUCCUCAGUCUGCGCUACUGUGGUCUGGGGCCACAGAGCGGGCCACGGCUCGGUGCCAUCAUAAGCCAGAGCUCCAUUUGUGAGCUGCACCUUGACGGCAAUUACUUACAGUGCUCUGGAGCUGUGGCUCUCCUCAGACCCAUAGCAGAGUAUGCAGAGAUGCAGGGGAGAGACCAGCCGGCCACAUCCCCACCAGUCCCCAAGAGUCCCCCUCAGCAGCUGCAGGUCAGACAGAAGGGAAGUUCAACUUUGAACCAGACUACAAAGUCACCUGGAGCUGUAACACGGAAGACUACUUCAGGGAAGGAGAGAAGAAAAGGAAUCAAGAAAAAGAUGAAAGAUUUGACUGAAGCUGGUCCUUGGUUAGUGAAAUUGUAUUUGGCAGAUAAUGGCAUAGACGGAAAAGGAAAAGAAGGAGAAAAUGGCUUGUUGGAAUUCACUCAGAUUUUAAUGUGCCUGAUCACAUACUCUGCUCACUUAAGGGAAAUUGACCUUGGAAACAAUGUCCUAGGAGAAACGGCUGCUGCUCACAUACUUGAAGCACUGAGAGCCAGAAAGACAGGUAAACUCCCAAUCUUAAAAAUCAUAAUCACUCCUCAAGUCUCUUCGGACACCUUCAAAUCUAUUUGGAAAAAUUCCAAGAAAUCGAGUAUUACCCGUAAAAAGAAGAAAAAGGCUAAAUACUGAAUAUGGAUGCUAUAUAUAUUUAUGGAUGUUUUCUAUUUCCAUGGCCAACCGGACAUGCCUAGGAAGAUAUUGCUUGUUCUAUAAUAGUAAUUUUCACUGGAACCAAGCCACUUUCAAAUUCUAAAAUUUGAUGACUAUUUAAUGAAAGUUCAAAAUAGUGUGAAUCCUACUAUGCUUGUUAUUUUCUAAAAUGUGGGUUUCACAAGUUGGCCUUAGUUAAAAAUAGAUAGGAUUCCUCUCUGGGGCCUCUCACAUGCAUGUGAAAUUUAUGAUUUGAAGGAAGUCAUGAUCUUUAUCUAAGAAAGAAAGAAUCUUCUUUCGUAAGUAUAUAUACAGUUGGGAACAGUAGGAAUAUUUGGAAAUAACCACUUUCUGAAAGAUGAUCCCCAAAAUGGCGAUCUUCCCCAAAUGAGGAAACUUCUAAUCACUUUGCCCUCUCUUCCCCUAAUGAAGAUGUCUGUUCCAUGAGGAAGGGAAGAGGUGUGGUUGACCAAUGGAUGGAUGAUAAGUUGGAUUAACUGGAAGUUAUAUGCCAUGAUGAUAUGGUGUGAAUGAAAAGCCUGGACUGGGGAAUGAAAUAGACUGGAAUCCUCUGUAGAAAACUGCUGAUUUCCAGGUGUGUAACAUUGCCCAAGUCAGUUAGCCUCACUUAGCCUCAGUUUUCCCUGAUACAGGUAAAACUAGCACCUGUCUCAUUUGAUGAGCACUGAAUGAGAUGACACCUGUCCAGCAUUUUUGGGCAAUACUUGUUUCAAAGUGCAUGCCCAAAUAUAAAUAUUAGUGGCAGUUAUUGUUGAUGUUAGAAUUGAAUGAUUCUGGUUAUUUCACUUGGAGUAGCUACACAAGAAAAAUUAAAAAGAAGAAUAAAAGACUGAAGACCUCUCCA